rnacentral:rRNA from 1 species
UACCACCCUUUAAUGUUUGAUGUUCUAACGUGGACCCGUAAUCCGGGUUGCGGACAGUGUCUGGUGGGUAGUUUGACUGGGGCGGUCUCCUCCUAAAGAGUAACGGAGGAGCACGAAGGUUGGCUAAUCCUGGUCGGACAUCAGGAGGUUAGUGCAAUGGCAUAAGCCAGCUUGACUGCGAGCGUGACGGCGCGAGCAGGUGCGAAAGCAGGUCAUAGUGAUCCGGUGGUUCUGAAUGGAAGGGCCAUCGCUCAACGGAUAAAAGGUACUCCGGGGAUAACAGGCUGAUACCGCCCAAGAGUUCAUAUCGACGGCGGUGUUUGGCACCUCGAUGUCGGCUCAUCACAUCCUGGGGCUGAAGUAGGUCCCAAGGGUAUGGCUGUUCGCCAUUUAAAGUGGUACGCGAGCUGGGUUUAGAACGUCGUGAGACAGUUCGGUCCCUAUCUGCCGUGGGCGCUGGAGAACUGAGGGGGGCUGCUCCUAGUACGAGAGGACCGGAGUGGACGCAUCACUGGUGUUCGGGUUGUCAUGCCAAUGGCACUGCCCGGUAGCUAAAUGCGGAAGAGAUAAGUGCUGAAAGCAUCUAAGCACGAAACUUGCCCCGAG